rnacentral:rRNA from 1 species
AUUGAACGCUGGCGGCAGGCCUAACACAUGCAAGUCGAACGGUAACACGAAGAAGCUUGCUUCUUUGCUGACGAGUGGCGGACGGGUGAGUGAUGUCUGGGAAACUGCCUGUUGGAGGGGGGUAACUACUGGAAACGGUAGCUAAUACCGCAUAACGUCGCAAGGCCAAAAAGGGGGACCUUUGGGCCUCUUGCCAUCGGAUGUGCCCAGAUGGGAUUAGCUAGUAGGUGGGGUAACGGCUCACCCAGGCGACGAUCCCUAGCUGGUCUGAGAGGAUGACCAGCCACACUGGAACUGAGACACGGUCCAGACUCCUACGGGAGGCAGCAGUGGGGAAUAUUGGACAAUGGGCGCAAGCCUGAUGCAGCCAUGCCGCGUGUAUGAAGAAGGCCUUCGGGUUGUAAAGUACUUUUGUCGGGGAGGAAGGGAAGAAAGUUAAUACCUUGGCGCAUUGACGGUACCCGAAGAAGAAGCACCGGCUAACUCCGUG